UACGAAGGGGGCUAGCGUUGUUCGGAAUCACUGGGCGUAAAGCGCACGUAGGCGGAUUGUUAAGUCGGGGGUGAAAUCCUGAGGCUCAACCUCAGAACUGCCUUCGAUACUGGCAAUCUCGAGUCCGGAAGAGGUUGGUGGAACAGCUAGUGUAGAGGUGAAAUUCGUAGAUAUUAUCUAGAACACCAGUGGCGAAGGCGGCCAACUGGUCCGGCACUGACGCUGAGGUGCGAAAGCGUGGGGAGCAAACAGG
rnacentral:rRNA from 1 species